rnacentral:rRNA from 1 species
AAAACUUUUAAUAAUAGAUCUCUUAGUUCUAGUAUUAAUAAAGAACGCAGCAAAAUACAAUAAGUAAUGUAAAUUAUAGAAUUUAGUGAAUUAUUAAAUCUUUAAACAUAUAUUAUGCCUACUAGUAUUCUAGUAGGCAUGCCUAUUUAAGCGUUAUUUUAACCCUUAAGCCUACUAUAUACUUAGUAUUAGGGACUAGCCUACCUGCCUUAUAGUAGUAGCUACCCCUAAAAUAAAUUAGUAGUCUUAUUUACAGCCUCCCUUAUAUAAUAAUAUACUACCUUAUAACUAGGAGCGCAGUGUGGUUACUACUAUAAAAUACCUAACUUCUCUAAGAGUUAACCUUAAAUUAGGUAGGAAUACCCGCUAAACUUAAGUAUAUUAAUAAGUAAAGGAAAAGAAACUAAUAGGGAUUACCCUAGUAAUAGUAAGUAAAGUAGUAAUAGCUUAAAUUUAAAAUCUAGCCCCUAGGGCCUAAGUUAUAAUUUAUAGAGAAUGCUUUUAGUAAGGCGCCUUCUAAGUUCCCUAGAAUAGGACGCCACAGAGGGUAAGAGCCCUGUCUAGUUAGAUACUAAGCCUCUAUAAAGCUCCUUUAAUAAGUUAAGUAGUUUAGAAAUGCUACUCUAAAUAAGAGGUAUAUGUCUUCUAAAGCUAAAUAUUAGCUAGAGACUAAUAGCGUAUAAGUAAAGUAAUUAAAAGAUAAAAAGCACUUUAAAAAGAGGGUUAAAUAGUAUAUAAAAUUAUUAAAAGGGAAGCGCUUAUAACUAGACUUAGGCCUAGUAAAUUAUCUAGCGUUCUUACUAGUGCACUUUACUAGGCUUAGGCUAGCAUUAGUUUACCCUAGGGGAUAAAGGCUCUAGGAAUAUAGCUUCUCUAGGAGUGUUAUAGCCCUUUACGUAAUGCCCUAGGGUAGACUAAGGUUUACGUAUCUAUAAGGAUACUAGCGUAAUAGUUAUUAGUAACCUAUCUUAAAACAUAGACUAAGGAGUUAUCCUUAUAUAUAAGUGUUUAGGUGUAAAACCCCUAUAUAAAAUAAAAGUAAACGUAGGUAAGAGCUUUAGCAUAUUAUUAACUAAUCCUAAUGUUCUUAGAUAAAUUUAAGUAGGAGCAUAUAGGGCUAGACCUAAAAGAAGGUAAACUAUACCUAUAUAGGGUAAAGCUAGAGGAAACUCUAGUAGAGGCUUAUAGUGGUUCUAAUGUAUAAAUUAAUUAUUAAAUAUAGGUAUAGGGGCAAAAGACUAAUUAAACCUUCUAGUAGCUAGUUUUUACUAAAGUUUCCCUUAGGAUAGUAGUGUUAAUCUUAGUUUUAUAAGGUAAAGCAAAUAAUUAGGAACUUAGGGGCUAUAUAUUGCCUUUAUUUAUUCUUAAACUUUAAAUAUAUAAGAAGCCCUUAUUACUUAAUUAAAUAUAAGCAUUUAAAUAUAUUAACACUAGUAGGCUAUUUUUAGUAAGCAAAACUAGUAAUGUGGGAUAAACUAAACGCGAGGUUAAGGUACUAAAGUAAACGCUUAUUAGAUACCACAAAAGGUAUUAGUAUAUCUUAAUAGUAGGAUAGUGGCUAUAGAAGUUAGAAUCCGCUAAGGACUAUAUAAUAACUUACCUACUAAAUAUACUAGCCCUAAAAAUAAAUAGUGCUUAAGCGUCUUACCUAUACCUUACCCUUAGGGUAAAAACAAAGCCCUAAGGAGUAGGUAAAUAUAAGGGUUAGUAAUAAAGCCUAGGGCGUAAGCCUAGGUUAAAUAGCCUCUAGUGUAGAUCUUAGUAGUAGUAGUAAAUACUUUAAUAAGAACUUAAAGGACUAAAGUAAGGAAAGGUUCUAUAUAAACAGUAGUUAGAUAUAGGUUAGUUAAUCCUAAGCUAUAGGGAAGUUCCGUUUUAAAGGUGCACUUAUACGCUAUCUAGUAAAAGGGGAGCUAGUUAAUAUUCUAGCACCUAGAUAUAGGUUUUAUAUAGUAAUGUAACUAAACGUAGAGAUAAUAGUAGGGGCCUUAAGUAGAGUUCUCUUUUUUUCUUAAUAGUCUCUUACUCUAAAAUUAGUUUAUCUAGAGAUAGAGUUUAAUAGCUAGAAAAGCCUAGUACCUUUACUAGGUUUAGUACACUUCUAAUAUCCCUUAAAAAUCCGUAGGAAGGAAUAAUUCUCACGCUAGGUUAUACUUAUAACCACAGUAGGUCUCUAAGGUAAAUAGCCUCUAGUUAAUAGAAUAAUGUAAAUAAGGGAAGUUAGCAAAAUAGAUUUAUAACUUUAGGAAAAGGAUUAGCUCUAAGGGUUAGGUAUAUUAAGCCUUAGGGAGAUGCCCUAGGAGUAGGCAGCUACUAGCUAGGUAACUAGCUAGUGGUAGCUAGCAUCUAGGUGCUAAUGCCCUUAGUAGGCCUUGGCUGUCUAGCGCACGAUUAAUAACUAACUUAAAACUAGUAUAAAUAAGGGGAAUCUAACUAUCUAAUUAAAAUAUAGCAUUAUAAUAGCUAGAAAGUGGUAUUAAUAUAAUGUGAUUUCUGCCUAGUACUCUAAAUAUUAAAGUAAAGUAAUUUAACUAAGCGUAGGUAAAUAGCAGGAGUAACUAUAACUCUCUUAAGGUAGCUAAAUGCCUUAUUAUCUAAUUAGUAACGCGUAUAAAUAGAUUAACAAGAUUCCCACUAUCCCUAUUUACUAUCUAGCAAAACUAUAGCUAAGGGAAUAGGCUUAGUAGAAUUAGCGGGGAAAGAAAACCCUAUUAAGCUUAACUCUAGUUUAAUAUUAUAAAAAGACAUAGGAGGUAUAGAAUAGGUAAGAGCUUUAGCGCUAGUAAAAUACUACUACUCCUAUUGUUUUUUUACUUAUUUAAUAAAGUAAGGCUAGAUUUUUGUCUAACUUCUAGUUUUAAGGUCCUUUAUAGGCUAACCUAGGUUAAAGAUAUUAUUAGGUAAGGAGUUUAGCUAAGGUAGUAUAUCUAUUAAACUAUAACGUAGGUGUCCUAAGGGGGGCUUAUAGAGAAUAGAAAUCUCUAGUAAAAUAAAAGGGUAAAAGUCCCCUUAAUUUUAAUUUUUAGUGUAAAUAUAAACCAUAAAAGUGUGGCCUAUUAAUCCUUUAGUCCCUUAAUAUUUAAGGCUAGAGGUGCUAGAAAAGUUACUAUAGGGAUAAGUAACUUGUGGCGGCCAAGUGUUUAUAGUGACGUCGCUUUUUAAUCCUUUAAUAUUAGCUCUUCCUAUUAUACUAAAGUAGAAUUUAGUAAGCGUUAGAUUAUUUACCUACUAAUAGGGAACGUAAGCUAGGUUUAGACUGUUAUAAAAUAGGUUAGUUUUACCUUACUAAUAACCUCACUGUAAUAGUAAUUUAGCUUAGUAUAAGAGAAACCGCUAAUUUAGAUAAUUAGUUUUUGUGGCUAUCUAACUAGGUAGUGCCACAAAGCUACUAUCUACUAGAUAAUAGCUAAAUGCCUCUAAGUUAGAAUCUAUGCUAGAACGCGGUAAUACUGCCCGUAUAUAUAGAUAGAUAAGAAUAGGCUCUAGCUUAGUGUCUUAGUAAGUAAUCUCUUUACUACGUAGGAAGCGCGUUAUAGUAUUUCGCGUAUUAUAAUUUUAAUAUAAGUAGGGUUAAAUCCUUUGUAAAUAACUUAGCUAUGCAAAAUAG